UACGAAGGGGGCUAGCGUUGCUCGGAAUCACUGGGCGUAAAGCGCACGUAGGCGGAUUGUUAAGUCAGGGGUGAAAUCCUGGAGCUCAACUCCAGAACUGCCUCUGAUACUGGCGAUCUCGAGUCCGGGAGAGGUGAGUGGAACUGCGAGUGUAAGAGGUGAAAUUCGUAGAUAUUCGCAAGAACACCAGUGGCGAAGGCGGCUCACUGGCCCGGUACUGACGCUGAGGUGCGAAAGGCGUGGGGAGCAAACACGG
rnacentral:rRNA from 1 species